CACACCGCCCGUCACACCAUGGGAGUUGGAUCCACUCGAAGGCGUUGAGCUAACCCGCAAGGGAGGCAGGCGACCACAGUGGGUUUAGCGACUGGGGUG
rnacentral:rRNA from 1 species